rnacentral:rRNA from 1 species
GACGAACGCUGGCGGCGUGCUUAACACAUGCAAGUCGAACGGAAAGGCCCUGCUUGCAGGGUACUCGAGUGGCGAACGGGUGAGUAACACGUGGGUGAUCUGCCCUGCACUUCGGGAUAAGCCUGGGAAACUGGGUCUAAUACCGGAUAGGAGCCAUUUUUAGUGUGAUGGUUGGAAAGUUUUUUCGGUGUAGGAUGAGCUCGCGGCCUAUCAGCUUGUUGGUGGGUUAAUGGCCUACCAAGGCGGCGACGGGUAGCCGGCCUGAGAGGGUGGACGGCCACAUUGGGACUGAGAUACGGCCCAGACUCCUACGGGAGGCAGCAGUGGGGAAUAUUGCACAAUGGGCGCAAGCCUGAUGCAGCGACGCCGCGUGGGGGAUGACGGCCUUCGGGUUGUAAACUCCUUUCGCUAGGGACGAAGCUUUUUGUGACGGUACCUAGAUAAGAAGCACCGGCUAACUACGUG